rnacentral:rRNA from 1 species
CACGUAGGGUGCGAGCGUUGUCCGGAAUUAUUGGGCGUAAAGAGCUCGUAGGCGGCCUGUCGCGUCGGCUGUGAAAACCCGGGGCUCAACCCCGGGCCUGCAGUCGAUACGGGCAGGCUAGAGUCCGGCAGGGGAGACUGGAAUUCCUGGUGUAGCGGUGAAAUGCGCAGAUAUCAGGAGGAACACCGGUGGCGAAGGCGGGUCUCUGGGCCGAUACUGACGCUGAGGAGCGAAAGCGUGGGGAGCGAACAGG